rnacentral:lncRNA from 1 species
ACUUGUGACUGAAUGACACUUUUCUGCUUCAAAUGCAAACUAACUCAGAGGUUAAGUUAACAUGCUUAUAUAGAAAGAAUAAAUUCAUCAAGCAAGUGACUUUUUUUUACAGAUCUGUUCCAAGGACAUUUGGUAUUAAGCAACUUGAAGUAAAAGUCAAGCAGGUCAUACCCAACAAAUCCUGGGUGAGUCGCUUAGGCAGACAACCUGAAAUGAAAAGAUGAUUUUCUAUUACAAACACUUAAUUGACUUGUCCUAAUAGUAAUUGCUUGCAUGCUGCUAUAUGUAUUUUCUCAUUGGCUAGAUUUCACAAUUAGUGUUCAGCUGAGACAUGGCUGCUGUGCUCUGAUCAGUCACUUAUCCCUCUGUGCAGAAGAGAAGGGUCCCUGUGGCUCAAAAGUACAGUUAGGAGUCUCUCAACUGGAGGGUUGGUGAUUCAGUCCACCAGUCACAUGCCAGAGUGUCCUUGAGAAUGUAUGUAAUUGGAGUUAAUUAAAGGUGGGGUAGACAGGAUCUGAGGAAGUGCCAGUUUUUGAGAGAAAUCUUGAAUGUAAACUCUACCCUUACCAACCAGUUUUCCCCUCAGCUCCUCCUCUCCCCUCCAUCUCUACUCCAGCAAGCCCCGCCCACAAACAGACUCUCCUGUUCGCUUUGUCCAGCAGAAAGGUUACAGAGUCCAUAAGAUCCCAAAGCAUCCCCAUCAUUGUUGACCCGGCUUUUUUUAACUCUUGUCCGGGUGAUCUACCUCCUUUUUGAGUGCCGGAGUCUCCAGUAUUUACUUUGUUUUCUUGCUUGUGAUGGUGGUCGUGGUUAAAGGAGGAUUCAGACAAUUUUCCAUACUUUCUGGUUGGUUUCUACUGUCCAAUACUGUAGCACGCUAACUUUGUUUGGGCUCUUGAAUGACACGGGGGAACAGCAUCUGCCUCACAACCAAUCAGCACUAGGGAGCAGCAUCCGCAUCACAACCAAUCAGGAUGGGGGAGGCGGAGAAUGGCUUUGUUUAUUUUAAGAUGUUGACUAUAAAGACAUAACAAAACACAGUGAUAUCAUUAUAUUACCAAAUGUAAUUAAUACCUAAUAGCUAUUGACUGAUAUUAAAUGUUUUUUCACCACUUUUAUUCUACUUCUUUAACGGAAUCCUGCCUUUUCCACCUUUAAUACUGGGAAAGUGGCUGAAUGUGAUCUGUGGUGUAAAGGAUGACCAGAAAAGUGUAGAAUGGAGCACCGUUACUGAUGGCCUAGUGGUCUUAGCACACCAUGUAUCCAGAGGUUGGACCUUGAGUGGGCAGUCGAGGUUCGAUUCCAGUCUGUGGCCCCUUCCUGCAUGUCAUUCCCCCACUCUCUCUACCCACUUCCUUUUCCAUCCACUGUCUUGCCCUUACAUAUAAAACCACAAAAAGCAUAAAAAUGAAAUUAAAAAAGGUCCAUUCACCAAAAUGAUCUCCAUUAAUAACACUGUUAAAGUUGUUUUCUCGAACAGAAUGAGCAAAUCUUGUCCGACAGUCUGUGCCUGUAAUACUUAUCAACACUCCACCUGUUAUUUGCUGUAGAUGGAGAAGUAAAAUGCUGAGCCCCGGAGGAGCUGCUGAGGUUUGGAGUUCAAGCAGCUUCUUGUAAUGACCCUCUUCUCUUUGCCCCAUCAGCUCCACUUCCUAAUCAAAGACUAAUCCAACCAGCCCCCAACAUCCUGAAGGAGCAGGUGUACAUUCAUGUGUUAGUGAAAUUAAGCCUCUUGUUAAACCCCUGCUGUAUUUAUCUUUUAAUUAAAUCCUGAUAGAUAGCUCUCUACAUUAAUAUUACACAUUCAGAACAUGCGUGCUUCAAUUACCAAACCUGCGUGUCCUUGUUUAGCGGGGAUAAGAGGUGUCCUAUUAUGAUACAAUUCCUGCCGAGCUCGGAUUUAAGAGGCUUUUUCUGAUUUGAGAGGCUCUGUGGCUGCAUGGACACUGAAUGUGUCUGCACAUGCUCACUGCUCAGACAAAGACGAUUUCUUUGUCCUGUUUUGGCAAACAAGUCCAUCACUGCUGUAUGCAAAACAAUGCCAAUAUUCAGAUGAAUACUGUGUUUCUCUGCAGGCUAGAAAACCUGGCUGCAUUGUUUGAUCAGCUAAUCACUUACUCUGCUUGAUAUAAAAAGGCUUAAAUGAUUAGAUAUCUGAUUACAUAACACAGCAGUAAAGCUUUGAGUUGAUUUUACAGGGCAGGAAAUAUGGAUAAAUUUUGAUAAAUUUUUAAACCCUUUGGCUUUAUAAUGUUAUAUAUCAGUAUGUGGGGAAUAAGUAUGCAAAAUGAUCUGAUGGUGUAAAAAUCUAUGGAUCUGUUGAGAAAUCUGAAGUUUACAGAUGGAUAUAUGAGAUCUGAUCCAUUACAGAUGCUUUAAAUCAUUUUGUUUGUACAUCAUUUUGUGAUUUAUCCCUUAGAAUACAGAUUCAUAUCACAAAGAUUGCUGGUCUUGUAAUAGAUUUACAGGCAACAGCAUGUAGAAUUAUGGAGAAAUAAGGAUGAUGCAUUUUUCACCAACAUUAACUUUUUAUUUUCUCCACUGCAAAACUGACUUGGUGUCUAUCUGGGAAAAGAUAUGGGAUGCAGAACAGAUUCUAACUCUAAAAUAAAAGCAUGUUUACUGGUCUAAUUUUUUGGACUUUAUUCUAUUAAAUACAACAGCUCAAUGCAAGAUAAAGGAUGUGAGUCAAGGAGUAAUGUACAGUGAGUAGGUGACAGGGCAAAUAAAGACCCCAGUGUAGACUUCAGGCAUAAAACAUUGAUUCAAAGAAGUUUUCACUGAUCAAAAAUCAUUAAUUUAUACUCUUGAAUUAUAGUCUCACUGAUUGUACAGUAUGCUAUGUCUCCAUGGCAACAGAUUCUUAUCAGUCUUCCUGCAGAACCAAUUAACUUUAAACUGAUCAUUUCAAUUCAUGGUCAAAAUGAGAUAUUAGCUUACUUGUCUGUUAUAAUUUAUACUGGUUUGACCGUGCCCAUUAAAGGUUCAGUUGGACUUUACAUUUUGCAGGAAUGUUUUUUUUUACAUCCUUAACCACAAAUGAGGAAAUAUAACCACUUUGUUAUUGCUAACUCUUAUAGUCUAAGUAACUUUAUAGUAACCGCCAUCUGACAUAUGAGAGAUGGCAAAGUCUGGAUUGCAGGACGGGAUAAAUCUUCACUUUUCCAUACCCAAGAAUCUUUAAACCAGCCGGUUACAGAAACUUCUGUUUGCUACAGUGUCAACAGGCAGAAGUGAGACGUGCCAGACUCCUCUCCUCUGAUCGGUUUGUGUGUGACCAGGUUGGGAAAUGAAGACAGGUGAAUAUUCUCAUGACUAUAAUUUAAAAUGGAUUAAAUUUUGUAGUUUUAUACAUUUAUUUCAGUUUUGUGUAAUUUUGCAGAUACUUACUGGAAAUUUAGGAUUCCUGAUAUCAUGUACUCUGUGUUGAACCCUGCUCUACACCCUCAGAAACAUUUUAUAGGCAGAAUAUUUGAAUAGAAUAUGUUCCUUCCAUGUAAGAAAGAUGUACUCUGGAAAUGGCUUUGUUAAGUCUGACUGACUUUUUAGGUUGGAGCUGAGGUAUCAGAGGUUCACAUGGGGGUUGAGUUUGGGGAGGGGGCAUGAUAUCAAGUAAAUAUGGGGAUGAAAGUGUACAUUUUCAGGAGACAGUUUCUCCUGGAAGAUAUUCCUGGUUUUCCACUUGGUAGCUCACAGGAAAAGUGACAGAAAUAGUUGUCUAACAAAUGCAAAACAGAGAGCUUCAGGGAGGCGAUAGAACUGUGACUCCUCUUUCACCUCUGCAUAGCUGAAUUAUCACAGCAAUAAUCGAGUGGAAGUGACAUAUAAUUGAUUUUAGCUGUAUAUGUUGUUAGACCCUCCCAAAUCCCACAACUAAAAAUGUUUUAGUAGCGGGUUUUGAAACCAUCUGACAACAAUCUGAGAAAAAUUAACCAUCAGAUUAAGUAUCAAUUAAAUCAUCAGGUCGGGGUUGAAGCUUAAAUUGGGCUGAAUAAAAGACAAGCGAGAUAAGAGAUGCUCUACGCUUAAGACUGUGUUGUUACUUUCCCGACCAUGCUGCACGAAAGGCAGAAUUUUGAAGCUUUCUGGUUCAGGAUGUGGUCAAAUGCAGUUCAGC